GUUAUUAGAGAGGCUGAAAACCAGACUGGAACAGGCUCUUCAAAGGCAGCCUCUGGACCUGGACUAUUUAGAGUUCCUCUGUACCAGUGAGUUGAGCCUCUGUUCAGUGAGUAGUCAAACGCCAUUUCCAGAAGAGGUCAUAGGCAGACGGGAAAAGCAGGCCUUAAAAGAGGGCUACAGGAUACUGGGUGCUCCCAAUGAUAACAGAACGGCCAGAACUGGCUAGAGUUCUGUUCCCACGAGGUGCCUCAUCUCUGAUGGAUCCUAAGAUGAUUUUGAAAAGAGUGGUUUGACCAGAUGAGGCGGAGGUUGACGAAGAUUAAAUGGA